AAAACUUUCUCUCGCGUUCUUCUCCCACUUUCUCUCUUGUCGUUCCCUUCUUUCCACUAUCUCUUGGUUGUUUCCAGUUUUUUUUCCUUUUUCCAGUUUUUCCCCUCUAUUUUUGCUUCUGUAAGCCUAUGAUAUUAUCUUUUCAUAACAACCAUUAUUCUAUCACUUUGCUGCCCUUUUGUUUUCAAUCUGACUUGGCGAGGAUCGAUGCCUGCAUUUGUUUUUGAACAACUUUGUCGGUGGGUGGUGAAGUUUCGAUAACAAGUAGUAUUCCAGUGAUUCGAAAGCUCUUGAAAUUGUUCGUUUAUUUGGGGGUUUGGAAUUGUGUUGUUGUGUUGCUAUUCACAAAUGUUCAGGUGUGUAGCAUUAAUCUCGAAAAACAACGAACGACGUGAAGUUGAAAAUUUCAUUAUUAACGCCACACGGCCGUGUGCUAGGCUGUGUGAGCCAUACGGGCUAGUUUAAACUAGCCAUGUGUGUUUGUACUCGAAGUGCGAUUGGAGUUUCGUACUCGAAGUGCUAUUCAAGAUGAUUAUUCAUAAUGAGUACUCGAAGAACUCGUGGACGUGGUACUCGAGGGCGUGGUGGACACCGUAGAGGGGUUCGAGCUGAGUCAUCUUCUUUGGGCAGCAUGCCCAAUUUAGAGACGAGUGAGACGGCAGAGACACCUACCGCAGAGGCUAAACCCCAGACUCAAAGUGUAGAGGACGACGUACUAUCCCAAGCUUUGUUAAGGGUACUGUAGAGGGUCGCUAGGACCCAAACUGAUUCUGGAGGCCGACAGUCAAUAACUGACCGACUUUGGUCUAAUAGGGCUGAGUUGUUUAGUGGUGUCAUCGGGAUUACCCUUACUGUGGCCGAGUAUUGAUUGGAGGCCACCAGAGUAGAAAUUGAAGGGUGCAGUUUCUUUGCUUCGCGACGAAGCAUAUCAUUGGUGGCAGUUAGUAGAGCGUGGCACCCAAGCUGAGCGUGUGACCUGGGCUUUCUUCUAAAGUACCUUCUAGAAAAAGUAUGUGGGGGCGAGGUACAUUGAGGCCUGUAGGUUAGAGUUUAUCAAGCUGAAAUAGAGUGACAGAUCUGUGGUUGAAUACGAGGUUGAGUUUUUGAGGCUAAGUGGAUACGCUCAAGGUUUAGUGGCUACUGACUACGAUAAGAGUGUCCAUUUUGAGAACAGAUUGCGUUACGAUUUGAAAGUGUUAGUAGCUCCUCAAUAAGAGUGAAUCUUCAAAACAUUAGUGAAGAAGAAUAAGAUUAUUGAGGAACUCAAGCACGUGGAGCACGAUGAGAGAGUAGGAGAGAGGUCAGAAUAAGAAUAAGAGGGAUUUGGGUCCUUCUAGUUCAGCUUUGCGGCCUAAGAAACGGGUUAGGUUUGAUAAGCCUCAACAGGUUGAGACGACAAUUGGUACUGUUGGGAUUUAUAUCUGUGGUGACUAUGGUAAACGCCAUCUGAGCAAGUGUUGGAGGAGGUUGGGAGCUAGUCUUCGAUGCGGGUCUAUGGAACACCGCAUUAAGGACUGUCCGUACCAGUUUGAUCAGGUGUAAGCUCCAGUUUAGGGGUCUAGUUCAGCCGCAGAGGGUAGUAUAAUAGCCACCUAGGGACCGUGGUCAGCCUAGGGGUGCUAAUGAUUUGGGUUGAGGACAAAGGGUACUGGACAAAUGUGUUAAUCAGACAGAGGUAAGACAACCUACUUUAGUGUAUGCAGUGAGGAAUCGCAAGGAUAAGGAUGCGGCCAACAUGAUAACCAGUACGUUUACUAUUCAUUCUCACCCAUAUUUUGCAUUGAUUAACAUUGGUUCCACGCACUCAUACGUAGCUAGUACUGUUUCUAGUAACUUGGGGAUUUCUGCUGAGAAUAUUUCUAGUGGGAUUUUUGUAAUUAGUCCAUUGGGUUAGUUAGUGCAAGUCAGUAAGGUGUAUAGAAGAUGUUCAUUAGAGAUUCAAGGGGUUGUGUUUUUGGGUGAUCUAAUAGAGUUAUCGUUUGGGGAAUUUGGUUUGAUUUUGGGCAUGGACUGGCUUGUAGAGCAUCGAGUCAGUUUAGAUUAUGCGAGGAGAGGUUAACUUUGAAAACCAAUGAUAGUGUGAAAAUUAUAAUGGUUGGUGAGUAUUGAGAUUACCUAUCUAAUGUAAUCUAUGCUAUUGUAGACAAAAAAUUGGUCUGAAAGAUGUGUGAGGCGUAUUUGGCCUAUAUGCAUGACACGAGUGUUGUGGGUUCUACCGUUAGGGACAUUCGAACAGUUAAAAAGUUUUUAGACAUCUUUCGUGAGGAAUUGUCGGGGUUACCAUCGAAUAGAAAAGUCGAGUUUGGAAUAGAAGUAUUUACAAAGGACAUCUCUAGUGUCCAUCGCUCCUUACCAUAUGACAACGAAGGAGCUGAAAGAACUAAAGGUAUAACUUUAUUAACUUCUCGAUAGAGGGUUCGUUAGACUUAAUGUAUUUCCGUAGGGAGCAUUGGUACUCUCCUUCAAGAAAAAGGAUGGUACUAUGAGGAUGUGUAUAGAUUACUAACAACUGAACAAGUUAACAGUAAAAAAUAAGUAUCCGCUACUAAAUAUCGAUGAUUUGUUCGAUCAAUUUCAAGAAGUGUCUGUAUUCUCUAAGAUUGACCUUCGUUUUGGGUACCAUUAGUUGAAGGUCAAAGAAUCUGGUGUGCAUAAGACCGCCUUUAGGACUCGUUAUGGUCAUUACGAGUUCCUUACUAUACCAUUUUGUUUUACAAAUGCUCUGGCUUCGUUUAUGGUUCUCAUGAAUCGAGUAUUUCAACUGUAUCUGGAUCAGUUCAUCGUGGUAUUCAUCGACAAUAUUCUGGUAUACUUUAAGACUGAGGUUGAACAUGAUGAGCAUAUUAGAGUGGUUCUGUAGAUUCUUUAAGAGAAGAAGCACUACGCUAAGUUGAGCAAAUAUGAAUUCUAGUUGAGGGAAGUUACAUUUCUAGGGAACGUAGUUUCUACCGAGGUAUCUGUGUGGACCCAAAAAAGAUUGAGGUUGUUUUUUAGUGGAAACAACCUAGGAAUGUCUUUGACAUUUGGAGAUUUCUCAGUUUCACGGGGUAUUAUUAAAGAUUUGUGGAGGGGUUCUCGCUUAUCGCAGCUCCCUUGACUAAACUACCGCCUAAGGAUACGUCGUUUAUGUAGAUCAAUGAGCAGCAAUCAAGCUUUAAGAAGCUCAAAUCAGUUUUGAUACAAGCACCCAUUCUGAUACAAUCUGAAUCUAAGAAUGAGUCUGACGUGCAUUUUUCUUGAAAUUUUUAAUUCUUGGAAACACCACCUUUUGGUUCCAAUUUAGACCCAUUCUGAGGUUGUUUUCCCUUCUUGAAGUCUUUCUUGACUUCUACGACGUUUGCCCUAACAUCAUUAUCAUUUUCUUCUUUUUUGAGCCUUUUUUUUUGUACCUCUAUUGUCUUACUUCAACUCGAAGUCUGACAAUUAAAUCUUUCAUUGACAUUUCCUUUCUUUGGUGCUUCAAGUAAUUCUUAAAGUCAUUCCAAGCAGGAGGCAACUUCUCAAUAAUGGCUGCCACUUGGAAGGAUUCACUUAUAAUCAUCCCUUCAACAAGAAUUCUGUGAAUGAUCAGUUGAAGUCCCUGAACUUGAUUCACAACCAAUUUAGAAUCAAUCUUUACAAAAUUCAAGAAUUUAGCAACUAAAAACUUUUUAGUUCCAGCAUCUUCGGCUUUGUAUUUAUGGUCCAAUGAUUUCCAUAAUUCCUUAACUAUUUUCUUAACACUAUACACUUUGUACAAUGCAUCCGACAAUCCAUUCAGGAUGUAGUUUUGGUACAGGAAAUCAGAAUGUUUUCAAGCUUCAAUAGCAGUGAAAGUAGUAACUUCAUCUACCCCGCCCUCUUUAACAGUAGGAGGGUCAUCUUUCAAAAUUUGGCCAAGUUCAACAUGGUCAAAUAAAACAACAUUUUCUGUUGCCAAGUCUUGAAAUUUUGUCUUGAGAAUUUUGCAGGUUUCUCGUUAUGACUUGCAGCAGCCACCAUCGGCAACACUGAGUUUUGGAUCGAAGAUUGCGUUUGAACCAAAGCCUCAUAUUGCGAAUUGAUUGAAUUGGUGGGAGCUUCCAUUUUUUGUUAAAAAAACAAAAAUAGAAUUAGAAAAAAUUAUCAACUUUUGUUAGACGGCAAGAAUCUAAUAAAAUCCAAAACAAAAGUUUAUACGGUCUAAUAAAAAAUAUAAUAAAAUAAUGCACCAAGUAGGUAACCCUAAAAGAGAGGUGGUGUA